rnacentral:rRNA from 1 species
CCUACGGGAGGCAGCAGUCGAGAAUCAUUCACAAUGGGGGAAACCCUGAUGGUGCGACGCCGCGUGGGGGAAUGAAGGUCUUCGGAUUGUAAACCCCUGUCAUGUGGGAGCAAAUUAAAAAGAUAGUACCACAAGAGGAAGAGACGGCUAACUCUGUGCCAGCAGCCGCGGUAAUACAGAGGGCGCAAGCGUUGUUCGGAAUCACUGGGCGUAAAGCGGGCGUAGGCUGUUUCGUAAGUCGUGUGUGAAAGGCGCGGGCCCAACCCGCGGACGGCCCAUGAUACUGCGAGACUAGAGUAAUGGAGGGGGAAGCGGAAUUCUCGGUGUAGCAGUGAAAUGCGUAGAUAUCGGGAGGAACACUCGUGGCGAAGGCGGGUUCCUGGACAUUGACUGACGCUGAGGCACGAAGGCCAGGGGAGCGAAAGGGAUUAGAUACCCUGGUAGUC